CAGCGGUCAUGGAGAGUCUCCAUCCAGCUGGAUCACUGUCACAGGGGAACACACCACCACACCUCCACCUACAUCCACACCUCCACCUACAUCCACCUCUCCUCCUGGUUCUUACCUUUUUCCUACAUUGUCAUGUGUUGGAUCAGACUGUGCUAUGGUUUUACUGGUGUUACUGGUUGUGCUGGUGAGAUGAUGUGUUCACAGGAAACCUGAAGAUAAAGCUGCACGAGAUGAUGUCACAUACAUUCAAGUAUCACAUCGCAGGCUGUGAGACAAAGCAGAAGUAAUAAUGACGGACCUUUGGUGGGUGAUUUGGUUUUUCCAGUGUGGAGAAAAUAGGAUGUUUAUAAAAUUGUAUCACUUGAAACUUGGAUAUUUUCUAAGAGUUCAAAGAAAUGCUUAGUGGAAAAUGAUUACACAGUGCUCUAAGAGCAAUAUUGAUGUUGUUUGAGUGACAGUUUCUGUAACAUGUGGUCGUAGUAAAGAUGUUGGUCAGUGAACAUACAAGACUGUAUAUCAAAGAUGGAAAACACCAGAAUGACUUCAUCAACUGGUUUCAGAAACUAAAAGUUACAAAUUUUUUAACAGCAUCAUGUUAGCUUUUAUAGCCAGGAGAGACUCUAUUUAUCAGCUAUCAGCUAAUGUUAGCUAGCUUGGUUAUCAAGCUUCUUCAUAGAUUGUAUGAGACAAACAGAAAGGCACUGCUAAUUAGAGCUCAGUAACAUAAUUUCUUCAGCAGAGGUCCAGUUCAGGCAGAUAUAUCUGGUAUAUGAUAUCUAAUAUAUCUGGCAGAUAUAAAUAGGCCACGCCCCCAAUAAUGCAGACUGUAAGCUUUAAAAACAUUUAAACAGGUCAGUUAUAACAACAAUCACCUCAUGUACAGCAAAUGAAUAUCAGUCUGUCUGUAGAUUUUCACACCAUGUUAAGUUCUGUGUGUGCUGAACGGUGUGUUUGUCGUCUGUGGUUAACACUAACGAGUCUGCCACUGUUUCUGAGGAAGAAACAAUAAG